rnacentral:rRNA from 1 species
CCUACGGGUGGCAGCAGUGAGGAAUAUUGGUCAAUGGGCGAGAGCCUGAACCAGCCAAGUCGCGUGAGGGAGUACUGCCCUAUGGGUUGUAAACCUCUUUUGUCGGGGAGCAAAAGCCGGACGUGUCCGGCUGUGAGAGUACCCGAAGAAAACGCAUCGGCUAACUCCGUGCCAGCAGCCGCGGUAAUACGGAGGAUGCGAGCGUUAUCCGGAUUUAUUGGGUUUAAAGGGUGCGCAGGCGGAUUUUUAAGUCAGCGGUAAAAUCGUGGGGCUCAACCCCAUCCAGCCGUUGAAACUGGGGAUCUAGAGUGUGCGAGAGGUAUGCGGAAUGCGUGGUGUAGCGGUGAAAUGCAUAGAUAUCACGCAGAACCCCGAUUGCGAAGGCAGCAUACCGGUGCACAACUGACGCUCAGGCACGAAAGCGUGGGUAUCGAACAGGAUUAGAUACCCUAGUAGUC